UACGUAGGGUGCAAGCGUUAAUCGGAAUUACUGGGCGUAAAGCGUGCGCAGGCGGUUGUGUAAGACAGAUGUGAAAUCCCCGGGCUCAACCUGGGAACUGCAUUUGUGACUGCACGGCUGGAGUGCGGCAGAGGGGGAUGGAAUUCCGCGUGUAGCAGUGAAAUGCGUAGAGUAUGCGGAGGAACACCGAUGGCGAAGGC
rnacentral:rRNA from 1 species